CCUCCAAGGCUAAAUACUCCUGACUGACCGAUAGUGAACCAGUACCGUGAGGGAAAGGCGAAAAGAACCCCGGCGAGGGGAGUGAAAAAGAACCUGAAACCGUGUACGUACAAGCAGUGGGAGCACCUUCGGGUGUGACUGCGUACCUUUUGUAUAAUGGGUCAGCGACUUAUAUUCUGUAGCAAGGUUAACCGUAUAGGGGAGCCGUAGGGAAACCGAGUCUUAACCGGGCGUUAAGUUGCAGGGUAUAGACCCGAAACCCGGUGAUCUAGCCAUGGGCAGGUUGAAGGUUGGGUAACACUAACUGGAGGACCGAACCGACUAAUGUUGAAAAAUUAGCGGAUGACCUGUGGCUGGGGGUGAAAGGCCAAUCAAACCGGGAGAUAGCUGGUUCUCCCCGAAAGCUAUUUAGGUAGCGCCUCGUGAAUUCAUCUCCGGGGGUAGAGCACUGUUUCGGCUAGGGGGCCAUCCCGGCUUACCAACCCGAUGCAAACUGCGAAUACCGGAGAAUGUUAUCACGGGAGACACACGGCGGGUGCUAACGUCCGUCGUGAAGAGGGAAACAACCCAGACCGCCAGCUAAGGUCCCAAAGUCAUGGUUAAGUGGGAAACGAUGUGGGAAGGCCCAGACAGCCAGGAUGUUGGCUUAGAAGCAGCCAUCAUUUAAAAAAAGCGUAAUAGCUCACUGGUCGAGUCGGCCUGCGCGGAAGAUGUAACGGGGCUAAACCAUGCACCGAAGCUGCGGCAGCGA
rnacentral:rRNA from 2 species